rnacentral:rRNA from 1 species
UUGCUGACCGCCUAAUUCAUUGCUUGAAUGCAGCCCCGAGGAGGGUGGUAGGCCCGUGUGGCGGCGCCUGUAAAAAGGUUGUAGGCAACUUGGGCGGAGGGAUGUUUACCGUAGAGUCGGGUUGCUUAGUACUGCAGCCCUAAGUAGGUGGUAAACUCCAUCUAAGGCUAAAUACUACCACGAGUCCGAUAUUUGACAAGUACCGUGAGGGAAAGCUGAANAGGACUCUGAAGAGAGAGUUCAAGAGGACGUGAAACCAUUANAAGCUGAAACGGGUGGAACCGUGAAGGUCGAAAGAGGGGAUUCAGGCUGUGGGCGGGUGCGCGCUANCGCCAGGUCGGCUGUUGUGANAGGACCCGGCGUACCAGUGGAUUGCCGUGGCCCCUGGCCGUGCGCGCGCCUGCCGGCGGACUUAGUUCUCCCUC